rnacentral:misc_RNA from 1 species
GAAACUUGCUACUAUAUCGUGAUCUGUACACAAACAUCAUCAGUCAUCCAAAUAUCAAAAAUCCAAAAGUACACUGAUAAGCUCUACAUGUUCACAUCAUCAAGGUCAAUCCUCUAUGACUAGGUACAAAAUGUUGUGAAAUGAACAAGUGAGAAUUGCAGACUUCGAGGAAACAUACAUAUAAAAAUAUGAUGCUCAUGAAUGAAAUGAAACUAGAUAAAUGUAGCCAAAAUUGAAUAGCAUUGCUUUGCCAUGAUUGCAGUAGCACGAAAGGGAUAAUUUCAUUUGCUCUUACCUCAGAUUAUGUCAACUAAAUCUUUGAUGUAUAGGAAUCAUUAAUGGCAAUUGAUAUACAUAUAAUACAUAAGAAAAUUAUAGAUACCAAUAACAAUGGUGUUGGUAAGGUUAGCACAAAGGUAAGACUUCCAGUCACAUGUUUGAGUGGUAGACACAUCCUCUUUGCAAAAAAAGUAGGGGGAAGGCCGUGUACAAUAGACAAUCCUCCCUAAACCUUACACAGCAAGGAGCCUCGUGCUUUACGGAUGCCCUUUUAUAGAUACCAAUCAUCUCCAGUGUCGACACCAUAUUUUGGUCGAU